AACUCCAUUUUUCUCAUUUUUCUGAUCAUGUUUUUUAAAAAUUCACUUCAUUGAUUUAUUCAGACCACCUCUUCUUUUUAUAUGAUAGUAUCUAUUUGUAUAAGAUAAGUUGAUUGAAGAAGUUUUAUUUAAUUAAUAAAAUUUCCUCUCUUUUUUUGUUUUGUUUAUCAACCACUCCAUAUAUUAUACGUAAAGGGGGCGUAGGGUAACGGGUUUCUGAUACAUCUGGAAAAAUCGAAACCAAGACUAGGAAUUUUUAACAAACAGGAUCAAGAAUCAUUACUCUUUCAUUUCGACUCAAGAAAAAAGGAUUUUUCUACACCCCUUUCUUGUGUCAAAGACUGGGAAGACAAAUAAUCCCUUCUAGGAUUUUUUCUUCGAUGCAUUUAUCCCCCGCUUCCUUAUGUCUAGUAUUUAGACAAAUUUUACUUUCUUUCUAUUUAAAAAACAAAACUAUUGAUACGUCUUAUGUCUUAUGACAGUGAAAUCUAUCAAUAGUAACAUAGUCCUACUACUCAAAUAAAAAUAACUAAAUCAAAAUAAUGACGUCCGAGAGGAAUAAUAUCAACCACUUGACGUCCCUCCGACGCAUCCGUUAUGGUUAUCUCAUAUCCCCCUUUUUCUUUUCAUAUGAUUUUGCUUACUAUACCUGUUACUGUAGCAUUAUAAAAUAUAUUGUUACUCUUACUGCCGUUGGGAUAAAUCUGACCUUUUCCCCUGUUACCGCCUACGUAUAUAGGAUAUUUUAAGAAAUGAACAUCCUUCGUAGUAGCAGGGUCCGGGGAAAGAAUAGGCAAGGUUAUUUCACUAUAUUUUUUACGAGGGACAGGGCCUACCACAAGAAUAUUUUUUUAUUGGGGCGAUAGCUCUGAAAAGACAAAUUGCCAAUCUUUUCUUUCAUCUUGGGAGAAAUAUGAUCGAGAGGAGCUAAUUCAAACCCCUCCGGUAAAAUAAGAACAGCCCCCAUGUUCAACCCCCCCUUUUUACCAUUACCAAGAACCUGUUUUAGUUGCAUAUCAUAAGGAAUUCGAACAACUUCUUCAAAUACAGUAUCAGGAAUUACCGCUUGUGGAACCUCAAUCUCCAUGGGCUUAUUACCUAAAUGGCAAUUGGCACAUACAAUACGCCCAGUCGCUUCUCGUGGAUUUUCAUAACCCUGCUGUGCAAAAAUGGGAUAUGCACUUGAAAUGGAUGUCCGAGUUAAGAUAUAUAUCAUGAGCGAUACGGAAAUAGAUCGAGUAAUCUGUUUCUUUAGCCAAGAAAAAGCAUUUCUAGUUUGCAUGGUCCAAUCAUUGAUCGCGAAAAUUUCUACAAUAAAUUGGGUAGGUCGCUAGUAUAGUUCCCUAUCCACGAUUCUACUAUUUACUGGAAUAAUCUAGAAAUAAUAUAGGAUGAAUCUUCCUGAUGGUUAGAAAUAGAAAGAUAAAAUACGAUUUUCAAUACUUUUCUUAUGUUCAACUACAAAGUACCAAGCAUUCGAAUUGGAUUAGAUUAGUAUCAAUGGAUCCUUUAUUAGUCAUUCAUUGAAUGAUAAAUAACUACAAGUGACGGAGAUAGGAGAUUUAAAUAACGGAAAAUCCAAUAUUUAAAAAUUGUAUCAAGAAUGACUGGGAAGGAAGAAACAAGACCAGAUAUAAUUUGAUCAUUAUGAACAAACCCAAAAUCUUUAUAGAUAGAGCCAAUAAUUAAUUCCCAACCGCGGGGUGAAUGGAAUCCGAUACAUAAAUCAGUUAAUAAAAGAAUAGAAAAAGCUUUUACUGUGUCACUUACGUUAUAUAGGAAUUCCUGAGCCCAAGAGUUAAGAAUAAUUAAGAAUAAUAAGUUUUUCAGUACCCAAAAUUGAAUACCCACUUAGAAUAAUAAAACAGAUGAUAUUUGUUGAGAAGUGAAAAAUCAUAUGGAUACAAUUCCCAUUUUGCGUCUUGAUUAAUUGGAUCGUUUCUUUAUGGAUUCCAAUCCCAAACUCUUCGAGAUGUGUUUCUGAGUAUUCCUUGAUCAUUUCGUCUAAGAAGAGGUGUUCCUCUAAUUCUAUGAAUUUUUCUAGAAGACUCUUUUCUUAAAUAGUAUUCAAGAAAAUUUUGGAUUGCCCAGUAUUCCACCAAUUAGUAACCCAAGAUUCCAGACAUUUAUUAACUGAGAAAGAAAUCCACCAGGGAAAAAAUACUAUAUAUGCAAGAUAGAAAAGAGGGGUGAAUGCUUUCUUUUUUGCCAUUUUUUCAUCUGUGAAUUGUUAAUCAACCCAUCCGUACACUCUAUGCGAUCGAAUAUUUCUUACACACAUGAGUUUUAUACAAGGUAUCGAACUUAUGAAUCUAUUUUCUUUGUGAUUUUGUGGUUAGUAUUUGAAUCUAGAAAGAAUAUAGAAAUAGGCUAAGAAUUCACUUCGAAUGAAGAAAUUGAGAAUAUUGUUUCCUGAUAUCUCAAUUGGUCAAAUUCAAAAUCAAGUGUCUCCUUUCGAUGAAUGAUCGAAAGAACCACUUUAAGUAAUGAAUAUUGUUCAGAUUUUGAGAAGAAAGAACUCCCUUGCUAUCAAAAUAUCCAAUAUUUCGAAAAAAUUUCACUAAUUACCCAUAGUCAGGAAUAGAAUAAUUGAGGGAAAGAUAUUACGAUGAUAAAAAAAAAUGACUGGCAAAAGAUAAAUUGGCUAGUUCUCAUUAUUUAAUUAAGAAAUCCAAUUGUUGGUCAUUAAAGAAUACAAAAGAAAGAAUUUCCAAUUUACAAGAUAUGAUCUAUCUGGAUCUAAAGUGUCAAUUCCAACAAAUAUUGAACUAAAAAAAAUUUCUUGAUUUCGAAAUGGUUUGCCAUCUGAGAUGAAUCUAUUAUUUCGAUUUGUUAUUUGUUAUUGAAUUGCGUGGGUUUACAUACGCAUAAAGACCAUAAAAAGAGUUUCGUUUUAUGGUUCUUUCAUAUACGUUUUCUUUAAUUGAAUGAACGUUCUGAUUCUCAAUUUCUCAAAAUACUUCAAUUGGUACACGCAAGAAAUAGGCUAAUUCAGCAGCCUUUUGUUCAAUUUCUCGUGGAGUCAAAUUCUCAUCAGUACGGGUUAAGGGAAUGGACCCCUGGCCUCGGAUGUCCAUAUAAAGAACACGACGAGCAUAAAUACCCUCUUUAACUUCUAUUCUAACGGACUGAAUAUCUUUUAUAAGGAAUCGGAGGAAUAUGCGACGAUUUUUUCCCGGAAAUCCCCAACGAAAAAUACAGACUAUUCCUUCCUUUAUAUCGAAUCGAUCAUAACCACUACCUACAUUCCAGGAAAUUGUGCACCACAAAUAAGAGCUAAUAAAGAGACCCGCAAUUCCGUAGAAAGACAUCACGAUUCCUUGUGGAAAAAAAAUGAUUUGCUGAGGCGGAAAAAAAGAUAUCAAAUUUCUACCAAGAUAACUGGAAGUUCCAACUAAUAAGAAGCCUAAUGAACCUAAAAAAAGGAUAAAGGCCCAGCAGAAAUUACUUAUUUUUCGAGACCCCGUUAUAAGUUCUAUCCAUAUAUGUUCUGAUCGCCAAGUCAUACUUUACCCGAUUGCAUUUUAUUAGAAUUGAGAUAAUACCCCAUAGAAAUUUGACUUUACUUUUUUGUUUCCGAAGUAACUCUCAUCAACUAGCACUAGUUUGAGGUGAACUAGCACUAGUUUGAUGUCAACCUUUAGGAGUAAUUCAUCAAAUUGGUUAAAUCUAAAAUAAUAACAUACUCUUUAUUUAAUACGAUCCCACUAUACAUAUCGAUAUACAUAGAGAUUAACCGACUACAUUUCAGCCAUCCAGUGAUCCUGAUCUAUUUGAAAAUUACUAGAAUGGAUAUAUCCAUAUAUCAUGUUUCUGCAGGCAUAAGAGUUUUUUCCUUUAUGUUCGGUAGAAAUCACAUGUUAUACUCUAUUCCAAUAAAUAGAUAUCCGUGUUAUGAUACAAGUCCACGUUUUCAAAAAAAAAUGGAUGAGAUUGGGUCCCAGCGUAUCUAAACAAUCUUGUUUUUUUGAACAUGAAUAAAUAAAGAAGCCAUUGCAAUUGCCGGAAAGACUAGGCCUACUAACGGCACAAAAAUAGAUGGAAGGUUCAAAUUUGUCAUAGAAGGGGUACCUCGAUUUACUAUAUUGUAUCUGUUAUUAUGUUAUUAUAUAAAUAAAGAUAUCUUGUAAUAAUUAAAUAAUUAUAAUUAAAUUAAGAAUUUGAAUUCUAAUUAGAUAAUAUUUAUUAUUAAUAGAAUUUGAAGAAUUUGAAAUUCUUAGUAUAGAUCUAAGUAUCUAUAUAUCUAAAUCUAACUGAGUACGUAUAAUAAGAAUAAGUGCAAAGAAUGUAGAACUAAAUAAAUGGACUUAUUCAUCUCUUACAUGAGAAAGAUAUGUAUCAUAAUAAACUUUAUUAUUCAUUUCUUUGUCUUUUGUUCUUGUCUUCUAAUUUUCUAAAAAUAGAUAAAGAGAUUAUCGAAAGAUUCGUUCGAAUCCGACCCAACAUGAAUUUUUAGCUAAAAUGGUUUUUAGGGAGAUAGAGAAAGAUACAAAACUCUAUUAUCUAUAUUUUAAUUUCAAAUUAUAUACCUAAGACAAGAAGAAAUUCGUUUUAUUUUCCUAAUUUCACGAAAGGAAGAACUCACUCUUGGUGAUAAAGGCUUCUUGAUUCGUAAUCAGGAAUAUAGGUCAAAAAAGAGUUAUCCUCAACUUUAGUUUUGAUUCUUUCUACAAUUAGAUCUUCUAUCACCAAAGAAAGGGCCAUUAUUAUCUUAUUUACUUUAUCUUAUUUACUUUGAUUCCGAUAAACUAACUACUUUUUUGCUACAAACACAAAUAAAAUAAAAUAAUGGCCUUAGUGCUCUACUUGAUUUUGCUUGACUUUUGAUUCAAAGGAAAAAAGGCGUGGAGCUUAAAUAACUCACUCAGAACGCUUUUUAAAAGAUUACGUGGUACAAUUAGGUCGAAUAAACCCUUCUGGAAUAAGUAUUCAGCUACUUGUGAACCUUCGGGUACUGUUUUAUUCAAUGUUUGUUCAAUUACUCUUUUACCUGCAAAUGCAAUGUAGGCAUUGGGUUCGGCAAUAAUGAUAUCCCCCAACAUACCAAAACUAGCUGUCACUCCACCAGUUGUCGGAGAUGUAAGGAUUGAUACAUAAAAUAAUUUUUUAUUUAAUUGAUAAUCAUAUAAAGCAGACGAUAUUUUAGCCAUUUGCAUCAAGCUCAAACUUCCUUCCUGCAUGCGCGCCCCCCCAGAAGCACACACUAUAAUAAGAGGUAAAAUUUGAUUGGCAGCGUGUUCAAUCAAACGGGUGAUUUUCUCUCCGACUACGGAUCCCAUACUACCCCCCAUAAACUGAAAAUCCAUAACCCCAAUUGCUACGGGAAUGCCGUUUAUUUGGCCUAUGCCUGUUUGAACAGCCUCGGUUAAUCCUGUCUUUCUUUGAUAAGAAUCAAUACGAUCUUUAUAAGGCUCCUCUUCCGAAUGAAAUUCAAUGGGAUCCAGAGAGACCAUGUCUUCAUCCAUAGGAUCCCAAGUACCCGGAUCGACCAAAAGUUCAAUUCUGUCCGAACUACUCAUUUUCAAAUGAUAUCCACAUUGUUCACAAAUAUUCAUUUUUGAUUUAAAAAAUUUCUUAUAAUUUAAUCCAUAACAAUUCUCGCAUUGAACCCACAAAUGCCUGUAUUUUUGAGUUACCUCGAGAUCAUUAGAACUUUCUCUUAUAGUUAAAUCACUGCCAUUAGUUAAAUCACUGCCAAUAGUUAAAACACUGCCAUUAGAACUUUCUCUUAUAGUUAAAUCACUACCGUUAGAACUUUCUCUUAUAGUUAAAUCACUGCCAAUAGUUAAAUCACUGCCAAU
rnacentral:lncRNA from 1 species